GCUGGUUUGGCUCAGUGGAUAGAGUGUCAGCUUACAGACUGAAGGGUCCUGGGUUCGAUUCCAGUAAAUGGCA
rfam:Myotis brandtii contig312458, whole genome shotgun sequence.